UUUAAUAUUACAGUGAUCUAAAAAAUCUUGAUAAUAAAAUAAAUUACUGUUGUGUAUAUCUUGUCUUAUAAAAUGAAACUGAAAAUCCUCUCCUCUCUCCCCCCAAUGUUUUUGUCUGCCUCCUCUCUACAUUGCUGCUGGACCAUCAGUGUUGGUUACCCCCGUGGCAACUCGACAGUCCGCUGGCCUCCAGCUCCUCUCCCUCUCCAUCUAUCUAUGAGAUCAUUCACCUCUCUCCUAUCACUCUACCCACUCAUCCCUUAAUAUAAGACGUUCUAUCUCUCCUGUCAAAUCUAAUACAUCUAUCUAAUUUUGAGGUUUUCUAUCUCUCCUGUCAUAUCUAAUAUAUCUAUCUAAAUUUUGGAAAUUCUAUCAUUCUAUCCCUCUAAUUCUAUCCCGCUCUAUCUCCUUGCAUUCUUGCAAGAAACCUCUUUUUUUGGAACGAUAUAUUUGAAACUUGUCUUUUGGAACCUGAUAUUAACAGAUUACUGGUAUCUGUUUUGGAUUCAUGGGUUGAUUGGAACCUGAUCAUUCUGUUUUAUGGUUCUGUGAGUUUCUCUGCUCACACUUUUUCUACCUCUCCCGUCUCUCUCUCACACACAUUUGAUUUGGCCUUUUCAAUUGGCAAAAACCUUAUUAUUGUAUUUUUGAAUUGUCCAUAUUGUAUCAGUAUUCUAUUUGGUAACAGUAAAGUAUUUUUUAGUUUGUUCAUUAAAUUUAAAUUAAUUGAAAAGACUGGAAACACAUACAUAACACACAUUUUGUUGAGCUUUUUAUCACAAACAUUGGACUGUAAAAACUAAUUCAAAAUUAAAUCUGGUACAUUUCCAAAUAUA